AUGUGUAUAAGGAAGGUAACCGU
rnacentral:siRNA from 1 species